CCCUUAGAUGUUCUGGGCCGCACGCGCGCUACACUGAUGCAUUCAACGAGUCUAAAACCUGCUCUGAUAGGGGUGGGUAAUCUUUUGAAUGUGCAUCGUGAUUGGGAUAGAUGAUUGCAAUUUUUCAUCUUCAACGAGGAAUGCCUAGUAAACGCAAGUCAUCAGCUUGCAUUGAUUACGUCCCUGCCCUUUGUACACACCGCCCGUCGCUCCUACCGGUUGAAUGAUCCGAUGAAUAUCAUGGAUUGAGGAUGCAAGUAGGUUAGCCUAUCUUCAUCUUCGAGAAGUGAAGUAAAUCUUAUCAUUUAGAGGAAGGAGAAGUCGUAACA
rnacentral:rRNA from 1 species